rnacentral:lncRNA from 1 species
CACAAUAUUCAGAACUUAGGUCUAGACAAGACAAAUCAUGAGAUAGACAGAUUAGACACCCACGAGAUUAGAGGUGGCGAGUCUGCACCCUUGUAAUCGAGAUCAUCAUCUUCAUCAAUGAAACACAAGCAGGAUGUAGGCUUUUAACUCAAUCUGAGGGGCCGAACCUUGGUAAAUCCGCGUCUCUCGAUUUCGACCAACCACUCUCAAGCUGCCCCAUAGGUGCGAUGGCUUCACACCUAAGUUCUCUUACGAAGACAUCCGCCAUGACAAAACCACCACAGUUGGCGCCCAUCGUGGAGCAAAUCACACGAUGAAAUUGUGUUCUUGAAGGGAGAUUCUGAGGAAUCAAGAAAUUAAGGAUGAACAAAGAGCGAACGCAAAAGGAUCGUAUCAUCGACAAAGCAGUCAAGACGAUGGGUACAAGUUUUGAGAUCAAGACGAAAUUAGGUUUCCCUAGUGUGCGUCAUCGCAAGUGGCCACAGGAUUUCCAUCGUGUCAGCCGCCGUGCCCGAGAUUGACUGGAGAAAAUUAGGGUUACUAUGCGCCGCCGCGUGCGCCUGGGCGAUCAGUUUCGUGCUUCCUUGCCUCGAGUCGCCAUGCUCCACCGCGCCUUGAGACGCCGCAUCCUCAUCUAACAUCGUUGCGUGACCGAGUCACCUCGCCCCACCGAGCUGGUGGCCACCGCCUCGUGUCCGAGUCGCCAUGGCUUGCCUCAUCCCGUUUCUCCUGCCGUCGCCUCGUCACGGCCCGAGACGGCCUUGCUGUACCUCCACCAGCGCAUCUCCGAGUUGAGCUUGAGGUCAACCUCGUUUUCGAGUCACCCCCCCCAGCAUCUGCAGUCUCGGCCUCGACCGCGUCUCGAGCUGCCGCUCCGGCCGGGCCCAGCGCUGGCUGCACACGGCCUCCAUGCCCGUGUAAGUCGCAUCACCAACCGUCGCCUUGCCUCCAAUCGGCUCCACGCGCCAUCACCUCGCCCCCACGGCCGUUGAGCCGGAUCCGCACCUCGCCUCCAAACAUUGCCCCACCGGCUCUAGCUGCGCUGUGCAUGUUGCCGCUGCCGAGUCCGAGCCGAUCUCGCCAAAACCUUUGCUGCAUCUGCGACCGGCGUCCAGGUGUUUCCACCACACCAGCAGUUGCUUCCGUGGAUGCUCACCUCGCCCGCUCACGCACCCUGCCUUCAAUGUGCCUGCGACCCGGUCGCCAUGGCCCGUUUCCGAGCCGGCACCCUGCCGUGCCCGUCUCACCAUCGCUACUGCGCCUCGAGCCGGCUCGCCCUGCCACACCUGUCUCAAUCUUCGUCCGCCAGUGGUGCGACCUCAUGGCAUGAUCCUCAGCCUCGUGGUGGAUUCCCGCGGCACGGCGGUGGUGCCCCUCGGUCAGAACAGAGAGAUGCUCAAUAGACUGGCUCGACCCUUGGCGUUCAGCGGACAGCUCGACAACCCAAGGCCUGACGCCCUCCCUGCAAAUCUUGGCGGCAUGUCGCUGGGGCAAAGCAGGUGGAGAGGCAGGUUAUUGGUGCGGAGAUAACAGUGAGGACCAGAAGCUAAUCAAGAAGGUAAAUCCUCAAGGAAACAUGUGCGUUGAUGACAAGGAUGCUGUUAGGAGGAACUAUGAAACAUUGCUCAAAUCUAAGAGAGAUCUUUGGGUGUACCGACUGCUCCCAUAAAAGGACAAAGUCUUGAAUUUUAGUAAUAUGUCAGACGAUGGAAAAUCGAUGGAGUGGUCUGAUCACAUCAGUGUUCGUUCUGCAAUUGUUGUGUCCAUACAUCGGAUCAUUUUCUAUACUCAAAACUGUGGUCGACCAAGCGGCCUGGACAGCUCUCACAACAUAAGGGGACUUACACAUAACAAGAAUUAUCAAGUGCAAUUGCUCCCCAUCAUGGAUACGAAGUUCAUGCCAACACCGUUCUACACUGGCGCACAAAACAUGCAGAUCGCCCUCUCCGCAGUCUGGGUUACGUUGACACG